AAAGAAACCAACAGGGAUUGCCCUAGUAACGGCGAGUGAAGCGGCAACAGCUCAAAUUUGAAAGCUAGCCUUCGGGUUCGCAUUGUAAUUUGUAGAGGAUGAUUUGGGGAAGCCGCCUGUCUAAGUUCCUUGGAACAGGACGUCAUAGAGGGUGAGAAUCCCGUAUGUGACAGGAAAUGGCACCCUAUGUAAAUCUCCUUCGACGAGUCGAGUUGUUUGGGAAUGCAGCUCUAAAUGGGAGGUAAAUUUCUUCUAAAGCUAAAUAUUGGCGAGAGACCGAUAGCGCACAAGUAGAGUGAUCGAAAGAUGAAAAGCACUUUGGAAAGAGAGUUAAAAAGCACGUGAAAUUGUUGAAAGGGAAGCGCUUGCAAUCAGACUUGUUUAAACUGUUCGGCCGGUCUUCUGACCGGUUUACUCAGUUUGGACAGGCCAGCAUCAGUUUCGGCGGCCGGAUAAAGGCUCUGGGAAUGUGGCCUCCACUUCGGUGGAGGUGUUAUAGCCCAGGGUGUAAUACGGCCAGCCGGGACUGA
rnacentral:rRNA from 1 species